rnacentral:rRNA from 1 species
AUUGAACGCUGGCGGCAUGCUUUACACAUGCAAGUCGAACGGUAACAGGUUAAGCUGACGAGUGGCGAACGGGUGAGUAAUGCAUCGGAACGUGCCCGAUCGUGGGGGAUAACACUUCGAAAGAAGUGCUAAUACCGCAUACGAUCUGAGGAUGAAAGCGGGGGACCGUAAGGCCUCGCGCGAUCGGAGCGGCCGAUGUCAGAUUAGGUAGUUGGUGGGGUAAAGGCCUACCAAGCCGACGAUCUGUAGCUGGUCUGAGAGGACGACCAGCCACACUGGGACUGAGACACGGCCCAGACUCCUACGGGGGGCAGCAGUGGGGAAUUUUGGACAAUGGGCGCAAGCCUGAUCCAGCAAUGCCGCGUGCAGGAAGAAGGCCUUCGGGUUGUAAACUGCUUUUGUACGGAGCGAAAAGGCUCUCUCUAAUACAGGGGGCUGAUGACGGUACCGUAAGAAUAAGCACCGGCUAACUCUGUGCCAGCCGCCGCAGUAA